rnacentral:tRNA from 1 species
GCCGAGAUAGCUCAGGCGGUAGAGCGUCGCGUUGAAAGCGCGAGCGUCGCAGAUUCGAUUUCUGCUCUCGGCA